UACAGAGGGGGCAAGCGUUGUUCGGAAUUACUGGGCGUAAAGGGCGCGUAGGCGGCCAACUAAGUCAGACGUGAAAUUCCCAGGCUCAACCUGGGAACUGCGUCUGAUACUGGAUGGCUUGAGUUCGGGAGAGGGAAGUGGAAUUCCAGGUGUAGCGGUGAAAUGCGUAGAUAUCUGGAGGAACACCGGUGGCGAAGGCGGCUUCCUGGACCGACACUGACGCUGAGGCGCGAAAGCCAGGGGAGCAAACGGG
rnacentral:rRNA from 1 species